ncrna:unclassified sequences skipping-rope RNA
AUUAUUUGAGGUGGUAAAUUUCGUCCGAACCACACGCCGAUGGUAUGACAGGGGAAACCCGAGAGAUGCAGGAGAAUCGGACGCCUGCCAAAUAAU